GUCUAUGGCCGUACCACCCUGAACGGGCCCGAUCUUGUCUGAUCUUGGAAGCUAAGCAGGGUCGGGCCUGGUUAGUACUUGGAUGGGAUAAGUUAUUAGUUUAAAAAUAAUAAACCAUGUACUUAAAAUC
rnacentral:rRNA from 1 species